GACGAACGCUGGCGGCGUGCUUAACACAUGCAAGUCGAACGGAAAGGCCCUGCUUUUGUGGGGUGCUCGAGUGGCGAACGGGUGAGUAACACGUGAGUAACCUGCCCUUGACUUUGGGAUAACUUCAGGAAACUGGGGCUAAUACCGUAUAGGAGCUCCUGCUGCAUGGUGGGGGUUGGAAAGUUUCGGCGGUUGGGGAUGGACUCGCGGCUUAUCAGCUUGUUGGUGGGGUAGUGGCUUACCAAGGCUUUGACGGGUAGCCGGCCUGAGAGGGUGACCGGCCACAUGGGGACUGAGAGACGGCCCAGACUCCUACGGGAGGCAGCAGUGGGGAAUAUUGCACAAUGGGCGGAAGCCUGAUGCAGCAACGCCGCGUGCGGGAUGACGGCCUUCGGGUUGUAAACCGCUUUCGCCUGUGACGAAGCGUGAGUGACGGUAAUGGGUAAAGAAGCACCGGCUAACUACGUG
rnacentral:rRNA from 1 species